UUACUGUAAGGAAAAGCACCGGCUAAUUCCGUGCCAGCAGCCGCGGUAAUACGGAAGGUGCAAGCGUUAUCCGGUUUUAUUGGGUUUAAAGGGUGCGUAGGCGGCUUAUUAAGUCAGUUGUGAAAUCCUAGUGCUUAACGCUAGAACUGCAAUUGAUACUAUUAGGCUUGAGUUAAGAAUAGGUAAGUAGAAUUUAUGGUGUAGUAGUGAAAUGCUUAGAUAUCAUAAGGAAUACCAAUAGCGUAGGCAGCUUACUGGUCUUUAACUGACGCUGAGGCACGAAAGCGUGGGGAGCAAACAGGAUUAGAUACCCUGGUAGUCCACGCCGUAAACGAUGAUCACUCGGUAUACAUAAAUUUAUGUGUGUCUAAGCGAAAGCGUUAAGUGAUCCACA
rnacentral:rRNA from 1 species